rnacentral:rRNA from 1 species
UGGGGAAUUUUGGACAAUGGGCGCAAGCCUGAUCCAGCCAUGCCGCGUGCAGGAUGAAGGCCUUCGGGUUGUAAACUGCUUUUGUACGGAACGAAAAGGUGCCUUCUAAUAAAGGGCGCUCAUGACGGUACCGUAAGGAUAAGCACCGGCUAACUACGUGCCAGCAGCCGCGGUAAUACGUAGGGUGCGAGCGUUAAUCGGAAUUACUGGGCGUAAAGCGUGCGCAGGCGGUUUUGUAAGACAGAGGUGAAAUCCCCGGGCUCAACCUGGGAACUGCCUUUGUGACUGCAAGGCUGGAGUGCGGCAGAGGGGGAUGGAAUUCCGCGUGUAGCAGUGAAAUGCGUAGAUAUGCGGAGGAACACCGAUGGCGAAGGCAAUCCCCUGGGCCUGCACUGACGCUCAUGCACGAAAGCGUGGGGAGCAAACA